GCACUGCUGAAUUCAGCAGGAAUGACUAAGAGGGUAACACCGUUGUCUGUCUACUGAGAUGGAAGCAGAGGAGGGUGAGCGGCUUUGUGGGGGAAGAUGAAGUCAGCUCUGUGAGGUGACAGCACUGCCAAUAACCAAGGGCCCUUGGUAUGUGCCUACUGUGUGCUACGUGUGGGAGGCAUGUUUCCCUGCUCACCCAGCUUCAUGAGGAAGAGUGAUUUUAUUAACACAAUCUGAAAUGGCUAAAAUUAAAGACUGACUUUCCAAGUGUUGGUAUGAAUGUGGAGGAACUGGAACUCUGAAACAUUUUCAGUGGAAAUGCAAAAAUGGUCCAGCUACUUUUGAAAACAGUUUCUUAUAAGUGUAAAUAUUCCUAUGACCCAGCAAUGUACUCCUGAGUAUUUACUCAAGAGGAAUAAAAACAUGUUCACGCAAA